UACGAAGGGGGCUAGCGUUGCUCGGAAUCACUGGGCGUAAAGGGUGCGUAGGCGGGUCUUUAAGUCAGGGGUGAAAUCCUGGAGCUCAACUCCAGAACUGCCUUUGAUACUGAGGAUCUUGAGUCCGGGAGAGGUGAGUGGAACUGCGAGUGUAGAGGUGAAAUUCGUAGAUAUUCGCAAGAACACCAGUGGCGAAGGCGGCUCACUGGCCCGGUACUGACGCUGAGGCGCGAAAGCGUGGGGAGCAAACAGGG
rnacentral:rRNA from 1 species